CCGGCCGGGACACCCUUCCGGUACCUGAUACGGCCGGAGCUGCCACCGGUACCUGACACGGCCGGUGCAG
rnacentral:ncRNA from 1 species